CGGGGCCGGGCUGAGGGUGGUGGUGGCGGGACGGGGACUCGGUGCCCCGUCCUGGCGUUCAGGGCACGGGGAGAGCUCUCCUUCCACAGUUCCCCGUGCUGGAGUCACUUAGACCUUCCCGGCGCGCCCCCGGCCGGGGAACAAAACGGACCGCUGUGAUAAUCAUCUCUGAUCUCGAGAUAACUUCCUACGUGCUCCAAGAGGCCGUUUCCUGCCUCUUUAUAGCCUUGUUCCCAGAUAACGGGGUCAAAGCCCUGUCUGGCUCGGGCGGGAGGGAAGAUGGUGUCGCAGCCGCUGAGGAGGAAGGAAGCCCCGGAAAGGACUCAGCAGGGCUCUGGGGCAGCACUUGGCGCCUGGUGGGGAUGAGCUGUUUGAAUUCGAGAGGGAUGUUGGCGCGGUGACCCCACACAGGCACCGAGGCCUCUGCGCCGUCUGACUCACGGUCCGGAGGGCCGGCGGUGCCAGUGCCCGUGUGCAGCUGCAAUGGGCAAGAGGCGCCACAAAACAACUGCGCUAAUUCCCCGCUCGUGCUAGAAACCUUUGCAAAUAGUGGGAUUUCUAGCUCAGUCUUGUGACUUUGUGUAAUUUGGGCUUUUGAUUUUGGUUUUCUUUUCAUUUUGCUUGGGGCCUGGCAACGUGAAAUGAAGCAGCACGUGAAAGCAAAAAAAAAACAGUUAAAAUGGAGAAAUAGAUUUAAGAUAUCUGUCUUGAAGUGCCUAACCAGACUGUUGUCCAGUCUUAUUCCAUCUUUGUCGCCUUUCCUUCAUGCUCUGUCUUUUCCAAAAAUGACAACAUAGUCAUUUUUUUUCUCUUUGUUCUUCUUCCUACGUUGGCAACUAGUGCUGACUGAGGUGUCUGGAUCGGAACAUACGGGCUGUGUCUCUGCAGACAUUUAGCAGGGUUCAUUUAAAAUGGAAGAUUCCUCCAAUGUCAUCCUUAUGUUUUAGACGAAAUCAUCCAGGAAAGUCUCAUAACACCAACUAACACAAAAGGAUCUUAAAGCAGCUCCUGAAUACAUGUACAGGUAUCAUUUUACCAGCCUCUGAAAUACAGCCAUCUCCUGGGUGGAAAACAACAGCUGUUAGUCAUGUACAGCAACACUGGCAAAACAGUGACCCAGAGAUGAAUAAUUACAUCUGAAAAUCCACAUCUAUGCAAAAUAUGUUUCAUCCAUUGCUAGGGAACCUUACUUAGUAGCUAUACCUUUGAUCCAUUCCUACUGGUUUAGGUUCUUGUAUCUGCCAAUAAGAGUC
rnacentral:lncRNA from 1 species